UACGUAGGGAGCAAGCGUUGUCCGGAAUCAUUGGGCGUAAAGCGCGCGUAGGCGGCCCUGUAAGUCCGCUGUGAAAGUCAAAGGCUCAACCUUUGAAAGCCGGUGGAUACUGCAGGGCUAGAGUCCGGAAGAGGCGAGUGGAAUUCCUGGUGUAGCGGUGGAAUGCGCAGAUAUCAGGAGGAACACCGGUGGCGAAGGCGGAUCUCUGGGCCAUGACUGACGCUGAGGAGCGAAAGCGUGGGGAGCGAACAGG
rnacentral:rRNA from 1 species